UACGAGAGGCGCAAACGUUAUUCGGAAUUACUGGGCUUAAAGAGUUCGUAGGCGGCGCAGAAAGUAGGGUGUGAAAGCCCUCGGCUCAACCGAGGAAUUGCGCUCUAAACUACUGUGCUUGAGGGACCUAGAGGUGAGCGGAACUGAUGGUGGAGCGGUGAAAUGCGUUGAUAUCAUCAGGAACACCGGAGGCGAAGGCGGCUCACUGGGGGUCUUCCGACGCUGAGGAACGGAAGCCAGGGGAGCGAACGGG
rnacentral:rRNA from 1 species